AUUGAACGCUGGCGGCAUGCUUUACACAUGCAAGUCGAACGGUAACAGGCCGCAAGGUGCUGACGAGUGGCGAACGGGUGAGUAAUGCAUCGGAACGUGCCCAGUCGUGGGGGAUAACGCAGCGAAAGCUGUGCUAAUACCGCAUACGAUCUAUGGAUGAAAGCGGGGGACCGUAAGGCCUCGCGCGAUUGGAGCGGCCGGUGUCAGAUUAGGUAGUUGGUGGGGUAAAGGCUCACCAAGUCAACGAUCUGUAGCUGGUCUGAGAGGACGACCAGCCACACUGGGACUGAGACACGGCCCAGACUCCUACGGGAGGCAGCAGUGGGGAAUUUUGGACAAUGGGCGCAAGCCUGAUCCAGCAAUGCCGCGUGCAGGAAGAAGGCCUUCGGGUUGUAAACUGCUUUUGUACGGAACGAAAAGGUUUGGGUUAAUACCCUGGGCCGAUGACGGUACCGUAAGAAUAAGCACCGGCUAACUACGUGCCAGCCGCCGCGGUAA
rnacentral:rRNA from 1 species